UGCGGGGUAGAGCAGCCAGGUAGCUCGUCGGGCUCAUAACCCGGAGGUCGCAGGUUCGAAUCCUGCCCCCGCUACCA
rnacentral:tRNA from 2 species